rnacentral:rRNA from 1 species
AUUGAACGCUGGCGGCAGGCCUAACACAUGCAAGUCGAACGGUAACAGGGAUCAGCUUGCUGAUUCGCUGACGAGUGGCGGACGGGUGAGUAAUGUCUGGGAAACUGCCUGAUGGAGGGGGAUAACUACUGGAAACGGUAGCUAAUACCGCAUAACGUCGCAAGACCAAAGAGGGGGACCUUCGGGCCUCUUGCCAUCGGAUGUGCCCAGAUGGGAUUAGCUAGUAGGUGGGGUAACGGCUCACCUAGGCGACGAUCCCUAGCUGGUCUGAGAGGAUGACCAGCCACACUGGAACUGAGACACGGUCCAGACUCCUACGGGAGGCAGCAGUGGGGAAUAUUGCACAAUGGGCGCAAUCCUGAUGCAGCCAUGCCGCUUGUAUGAAGAAGGCCUUCGGGUUGUAAAGUACUUUCAGCGGGGAGGAAGGGAGUAAAGUUAAUACCUUUGCUCAUUGACGUUACCCGCAGAAGAAGCACCGGCUAACUCCGUG